AUUGAACGCUGGCGGCAUGCUUUACACAUGCAAGUCGAACGGUAACAGGCCGCAAGGUGCUGACGAGUGGCGAACGGGUGAGUAAUGCAUCGGAACGUGCCCAGUCGUGGGGGAUAACGCAGCGAAAGUUGUGCUAAUACCGCAUACGUACUGAGGUAGAAAGUGGGGGACCUUCUGGCCUCACGCUAUUCGAGCGGCCGACGUCUGAUUAGCUAGUAGGUGAGGUAAAGGCUCACCUAGGCGACGAUCAGUAGCGGGUCUGAGAGGAUGAUCGCGCACACUGGGACUGAGACACGGCCCAGACUCCGACGGGAGGAAGCGGUGGGGAAUUUUGGACAAUGGGCGAAAGCCUGAUCCAGCCAUGCCGCGUGUCUGAAGAAGGCCUUCGGGUUGUAAAGGACUUUUGUCAGGGAGGAAAUCCCUAGUGCUAAUAACACUGGGGGAUGACAGUACCUGAAGAAUAAGCACCGGCUAACUACGUGCCAGCCGCCGCCGUAAUAC
rnacentral:rRNA from 1 species